rnacentral:SRP_RNA from 1 species
GUUCUUGACCCGUGCUGCUUCCAAGGACUCUCGUUUUGCGGGUAUGAACCUGGGUGGUUACAAUAUGAACUGGGCAGCGUACUUCUGUUGGAGCAGAGCCCCUCUGCAAAGAAGCCUCGAUGAGGCUCUGGCA